rnacentral:rRNA from 1 species
AUUGAACGCUGGCGGCAGGCUUAACACAUGCAAGUCGAGCGGAGAUGAGGUGCUUGCACCUUAUCUUAGCGGCGGACGGGUGAGUAAUGCUUAGGAAUCUGCCUAUUAGUGGGGGACAACAUUCCGAAAGGAAUGUUAAUACCGCAUACGCCCUACGGGGGAAAGCAGGGGAUCUUCGGACCUUGCGCUAAUAGAUGAGCCUAAGUCGGAUUAGCUAGUUGGUGGGGUAAAGGCCUACCAAGGCGACGAUCUGUAGCGGGUCUGAGAGGAUGAUCCGCCACACUGGGACUGGGAAACGGCCCAGACUCCUACGGGAGGCAGCAGUGGGGAAUAUUGGACAAGGGGCGGAAGCCUGAUCCAGCCAUGCCGCGUGUGUGAAGAAGGCCUUUUGGUUGUAAAGCACUUUAAGCGAGGAGGAGGCUACCUGGAUUAAUACUCUAGGAUAGUGGACGUUACUCGCAGAAUAAGCACCGGCUAACUCUGUGCCAGCCGCCGCAGUAAAAC